AUACGGAGGGUGCAAGCGUUAAUCGGAAUUACUGGGCGUAAAGGACGCGUAGGCGGGUUGGCAAGUCAGAUGUGAAAUCCUACAGCUUAACUGUAGAACUGCAUUUGAAACUGCUAACCUAGAGUAUGGGAGGGGGAGAUGGAAUUAGUGGUGUAGGGGUAAAAUCCGUAGAUAUCACUAGGAAUACCGAAAGCGAAGGCGAUCUCCUGGAACAUAACUGACGCUAAGGCGUGAAAGCGUGGGGAGCAAACAGGAUUAGAUACCCUAGUAGUCC
rnacentral:rRNA from 1 species